rnacentral:rRNA from 1 species
UCGGGAAUUUUGUGCAAUGGGCGAAAGCCUGACACAGCAACGCCGCGUGAAGGAUGAAGUCCCUCGGGAUGUAAACUUCGUAAGAAUAGGAAGAAUAAAUGACGGUACUAUUUGUAAGGUCCGGCUAACUACGUGCCAGCAGCCGCGGUAAUACGUAGGGACCAAGCGUUGUUCGGAUUUACUGGGCGUAAAGGGCGCGUAGGCGGCAAUUCAAGUCAUCUGUGAAAUCUCCGGGCUUAACUCGGAACGGUCAGAUGAUACUGCUUUGCUAGAGUGCAGAAGGGGCAAUCGGAAUUCUUGGUGUAGCGGUGAAAUGCGUAGAUAUCAAGAGGAACACCUGAGGUGAAGACGGGUUGCUGGGCUGACACUGACGCUGAGGCGCGAAAGCCAGGGGAGCAAACGGGAUUAGAUACCCCCGUAGUCCCUGAGCGGGCUGGCAAGGCGCAU